rnacentral:rRNA from 1 species
CUGGUUGAUCCUGCCGGACAAGACCGCUAUCGGAGUUCGACUAAGCCAUGCAAGUUUUUCCCGCAAGGGAAAGCGAAAGGCUGAGUAACACGUAGCUAACCUACUCUCAAGAGGGGGAUAACUUCGGGAAACUGAAGAUAAUACCCCAUAGCUUUUGGGCACUGGAAAGUUCCAAAGGCAAAAGAGCAAUCGCCUGAGAAUGGGGCUGCGGCCUAUCAGCUUGUUGGUAAGGUAACGGCUUACCAAGGCUAAGACGGGUAGGGGCAGUGUGAGCUGGAGCCCCCAGAUGGGUACUGAGACACGGACCCAAGCCUUACGAGGUGCAGCAGGCGCGAAACCUUCGCAAUGCACGAAAGUGCGACGAGGUUAUUUCGAGUGCCAUCCGCUAAGGAUGGCUUUUGCCAGGUGUAAAUAGCCUGGAGAAUAAGGGGAGGGCAAGUCUGGUGUCAGCCGCCGCGGUAAUACCAGCUCCCCGAGUGGUCGGGACGAUUAUUGGGCCUAAAGCAUCCGUAGCCUGCUUCGCAGGUCUUCUGUUAAAUUCAACGGCUUAACCGUUGAGCUGCAGGAGAUACCACGAGGCUAGGAGGCGGAAGAGGUAGACGGUACUCCAUGGGUAGGGGUAAAAUCCACUGAUCCAUGGAAGACCACCAGUGGCGAAGGCGGUCUACCAGAACGCGCUCGACGGUGAGGGAUGAAAGCUGGGGGAGCGAACCGGAUUAGAUACCCGGGUAGUCCCAGCUGUAAACGAUGCGAGCUAGGUGACGGAGUGGUUUCGUACCAUUCCGGUGCCGCAGGGAAGCCGUUAAGCUCGCCGCCUGGGGAGUACGGUCGCAAGACUGAAACUUAAAGGAAUUGGCGGGGGAGCACCACAAGGGGUGAAGCCUGCGGUUCAAUUGGAUUCAACGCCGGG